AGGCCCUCCUUUCAGUCAUGGACUGUUGAAGCACGAUUUCCUGGUGCUUUCGCCCCUUUCACCGACCAUUUCAAGAGUCCGUAGUUCUCGCCUGGGUUUGGAUUCGGUAUAAGUGAGCCUGUUUACCAUCAAAGAAAAUGGUGAAAUGUCUUCUGGAGACGAUGUUCUCUUCUGGUUCUAACCCUGUCACUCAGUGAGACCCCCAGAGAAGCCUAGUUUUCAGAUUAUUCUAGUCCUUGGCAGGCUCAAGAUGUCAACAACACGGUUGGAAACAACCCCUGAGAGGUCACAUAGCGCGCACUCAGCUUUACAGAUCGUCCAAGGCAGCGACCCCUGAGAGGUCACAUAGCGCGCACUCAGCUUUAUAGAUCGUCCAAGGCAGCAAUUAGAAUCAGCAACUCGGAGAGGAAAAAAAGCUGUUAGCGGAAUGGAGGCUGACCAUUAUCUGUAGUAAAGAAUCGGAAGUACAGUACAAAAAUAAAUUACCGAAACGCAACAUGCGUGAAUUUCACACAAAAAAAUGAAGUUGAGGGAAAGAAGCCAGACAUGGAAGAGUUCAUAUUGCGUGGUUCCAUUUAAAAACUAGCCCAUGGUGUUAAUGAGCAUAGUGGGGAGGACAAUGACAUGAAAGAGCCACCAGGGGGCUUUUGAGGUUCAGGAUCCCCAGCCAGUGAGCCUAAAAUGGGUAGAAGGAAAAGAUAUUUCUUACCCUACGCACCCAGGUCCAAGUCAUCAUUAUUUUGUCUGAAAUUUAUCUUCCUAACUGAUUUCUCUGCUUCCCCAUUGUGCCUUAAGAGUUAGUUUUCCACAGAGCAGCUCGAGAUAUCUUUUCAGAUCAUUAUAUCCCUUUGCUUAAAAACCUCUAACAGCUUCCUAUUAGGCUUAGAAUAAAGUACAAACUCCUUAAUGUGAA